AAUUAACGCUGGCGGCAUGCGUAACACAUGCAAGUCGUACGAGAAAGCCCCUUUCGGGGGGCAAGUAAAGUGGCGCACGGGUGAGUAACGCGUGGGUAAUCUACCCCGGUCUGGGGGAUAACGCACCGAAAGGUGCGCUAAUACCGCAUGACCCGGCGGGUUUUCGGACCUGUCGGAAAAGGUGGCCUCUACAUGUAAGCUACCGAACCGGGAUGAGCCCGCGUCCUAUUAGCUAGUUGGUGGGGUAAAGGCCUACCAAGGCGACGAUGGGUAGCUGGUCUGAGAGGACGGCCAGCCACACUGGAACUGGUACACGGUCCAGACUCCUACGGGAGGCAGCAGUGAGGAAUAUUGCGCAAUGGGGGAAACCCUGACGCAGCGAUGCCGCGUGAGUGAAGAAGGCCUUCGGGUCGUAAAGCUCUGUCAAGCGGGAAGAACAGCUCCGGGGCUAAUAUCCUCGGGGUGUGACGGUACCGCUGAAGGAAGCACCGGCUAACUCCGUGCCAGCAGCCGCGGUAA
rnacentral:rRNA from 1 species